AGUCACUGACAUUAGAUACCCCGGUAGUCCCAGCCGUAAACUAUGCGCGUUAGGUGUACUGGUGACCACGAGUCACCGGGGUGCCGAAGGGAAACCGUGAAACGUGCCGCCUGGGAAGUACGGUCGCAAGGCUGAAACUUAAAGGAAUUGGCGGGGGAGCACCACAACACGUGGAGCCUGCGGUUUAAUUGGAUUCAACACCGUAAACUCACCAGGGAAGACUGUUACAUGAAGGCCGAGAUGAAGACUCUGCUAGAUUUUCAG
rnacentral:rRNA from 1 species